GACGAACGCUGGCGGCGUGCUUAACACAUGCAAGUCGAACGGGCCCGCUCUCUUUUUUGGGGGUGGGUUGAGUGGCGAACGGGUGAGUAUCCCGUGAGUAACCUUCCCCCUGCUCCUGGAUAACUGCUUGAAAGGGCGGCUAAUACGGGGUGUGCCGUCUGGUCCGCAUGGGCCUGGUCGGGAUAGUUUCCUCUUCGUGUGUUUCGGUGGGUGAUGGGCUCGCGGCCUAUCAGCUUGUUGGUGGGGUGAUGGCCCACGAAGGCGGUGACGGGUGACCGGCGUGAGAGGGUGGGCGGCCACGCGGGGACUGAGACACGGGCCAGAGGCGGGAGGGAGGAAGCGGUGGGGGGUAGUGCACAAUGGGCGGAAGCCGGAUGCAGCGACGGCGAGUGAGGGAUGGAGGCCUUCGGGUUGGGAAGCUCUUUCGACGGUGGUGAAGGCCCUGUCCGUUGCGGCGGGGUUGACGGUAGCCGGGUAUGAAGCGCCGGCUAACUACGUG
rnacentral:rRNA from 1 species